CACGUAGGGCGCAAGCGUUGUCCGGAAUUAUUGGGCGUAAAGAGCUCGUAGGCGGUCUGUUACGUCUGCUGUGAAAACCCGGGGCUUAACCCUGGGCUUGCAGUGGAUACGGGCAGACUAGAGGCAGGUAGGGGAGAAUGGAAUUCCCGGUGUAGCGGUGAAAUGCGCAGAUAUCGGGAGGAACACCGGUGGCGAAGGCGGUUCUCUGGGCCUUACCUGACGCUGAGGAGCGAAAGCAUGGGGGAGCGAACAGG
rnacentral:rRNA from 1 species